GCGGCUCGCUGCUGUGCCCACAGCUUUAAGCACACGUGUGCGUAGUCAGCUGGUAGCCAUGGCUGGCGGGUCCUUACUCGUGUGUGCUGCGGCCCUCAUCUUUUCUGCAUCUUCCACCAUCAGGGCACAGGCGCCUUGCUGGGGUAUUCCGAGUCCAGGUGGACAUCGAGGCCAGGUGAGUGGCCCCACAGCGUGGAGGGGAUGACCGAGCUCUUCUGGAAGAUGUCCUGUCUAGGAAACCUAAGAUGCUGGAGCUAAGAAGAGACUCAGAGGCCAUCAGGCUGUUUGGUGGAACUUCUGCAGAAGAGAUGCAGAAAUGGAGACUAAGAAGUGAGACUCCUGCUGUGUUGAUCCUGGUUUGAAGCUGCUCUGGCCCCCCUUCUAAAAGAAUCUGAAGUUUCUGGUUCUUGGCCUAAGCUUGAUUCCAUGUGUUUGUCCUCCUCGGAGACUCUUAGAGGUUUUGAAUAAGGAAACGAGCUGGCCUAUUGUCUGACAUCUGAAUAGAAUAAAGCGUGGGUAUUGUAGCCAGCUAGAGGAAAGCACCCCUGCAAAUCAGAAUACUUUGGGGGCAAGAUCUGGCUGGCCUGGAAUACAAAAGAUCCAGGUUCAAAAAAAUAAAUGUGAAUUUAGCUAUGA